AUGCCUUCUCUUGUCUCAGAAACAAGGGAAGGGGCCAGUGUCUGCCAAUGUCUGCAGAGCCCAGAGCAAACGUCUGAGAGAUUCAGUGUGAGUGUGCUGGUUGCCUGCUACAGAUUAGGCUUGGCAGGUGGUGAACUUACACCUUGAAAGGGGGAGGAAAAGAAGGAAGAACAAAUCAUUAGCCCUUGACCUCAGAUGGCUAAAGGAGAGAAUGUAUUUCGUGUCUACCAUAUCUUUACAUCCUUCAGUGACACAUUUGUCCAUGUCACUGAUCUUUCUGGCAAAAAAGAAAAACAAAAAACAAAAAACAUGUGCUGUGUGACUGGUGGGAUGAAGGUAAAGGUUGCCCAGGUGAAUCCUCAACACAUGCUGCCACAUUGGCCACCAGGAUGUGACCUAAAGGUGCAAGGAGCCAGGCCUUACUGCCCUACAUCAAACCAUCAAACUCCAGGCCACAGGAGGAAAUAGAACUGAGAUCUCCGAACCUGGGGCCUGCUCAGGUAUGAAGAUCGGGUGCAUUGAAAAUGUCACCCCCAUCCCCUCUAAUAGCACCUGCAGGAAGAGGGGAUCACCAUGGUUGCCAUCUGUAAACAGGACUCCUUAAAAUAUUUUCUGUUAAUAAAUUGCCUUCAUGUCAACUAAAAAAAGCGAGAGAGAGAGAGAGAGAGAGAGAAUUCACACAAAAUGAUGCCCAGUCUUGGUCUCCGUCGUGAGGGGUCCAGGAACAAUGGGUGGGGGUUCAUUUGCAUAACACACCACCAGGGAGAGUACUGUCACCUGCCCUCCUGGGUCCUGAAGAAAACCCUUCACUCCAAUUCCUUGUGCACUGUUUCUAAAGGCAGGAAAGGUAUACACUUCUAGAAGGACAGUCACAUAAAACGCUAGAAGAAUAAUGUGCUUUAUUUAAGUGCUAAGAGAUACCCUUGAUGCUUGUGUUACCUGGAAGUUGGCUUCAGGGAAACACUUCAUUGACCUUCUCUCAAGGAUAAAUGAGCGGCAGGGACAGGGAAGGGAGAAAGGUUAUUUUAACAUUUUAUUCAGUCUCUGAGAUUCUUCGGAGAUCACCUUAGGAAUGUUCUUGACCUGAGUCCUCUUACUAAGUGUAAUCACGUAGUCUGCCAGACUGCAUCAUUAACCCUACUUUGCAGCUGAGUCAACUACAAGAGAUGACUUUUCUAGGCUGGUGGAAUGGAAUUUGCCAUGUACCGCAUGCAGCCAUGUACUGGAUCGGUCGAUCCAGGUGCAAUUUCUUUGAUGGUGUUAUUGACGGGUGGCAGGGGAGUGGCAAAUGCAAGAGGAGAUACGGGAUGAAGCCCAGUGCAGGGAAGGUUGGGCUGGGGCAGGAUCAGGGAGCCAGGGUAUGGGGCUGAAACCCUGGUUAAUAGUAGCAAAAGAAAUGGGCACCACAAUCCCAAAGGACUUCCAGAAGCUUCUUCCCUCCCCCACAGCUGGGCGCAGAGCCUUACCUCCCCUCCGCCUUGGUCCUGUCUCCCUGUUUGGCAAGACUCCCAUGUCAUCUGCUCUUCUUUACCUCUGGUCCCUCUUGGCACUGGAAAUACUAUGUGAACCCAGCAGUUGCACAGGAUUCUAGGAAUUGCUCCUUUCCAGCUUCCUGAACUGGUUUUCAAAUUCACCUCAGAGGUACCUUUAAAAAUCAUGCUCCAAGACCGGGCCUGGUGGCUCAUGCCUGUAAUCACAGCACUCUGGGAGGUUGAGGCAAGAGGACCGCCUGAGCCCAGGAGUUCAAGAGCAACCUGGGCAACAUAGUAAGACCUGUCUCUACAAAAUAAUAAAAGAAUUAUCUCGGUGUGGUGGUAUGCCACUGCACUCCAGCCUAGAUGACAGUGAGACACCCUGUUUCAAGAAAACCUCACAAAACCCCACACUCCAUACAGUCAGGAGGUCUGCCAUCCACAGACUCCAGACCAAUGGUUCCAGCAGCCAGGCAGGAGCAGCAUGGGCAAUGUCAGUAGCCUGCACAUCAGGCUAGCUUUUCUGAGGUCACAAAGUCUGCGUGGAAGUGGAGAAUCCAUAAGGGUCAGACCCUCCACAGGAGGAGGCCUUCCCUCCCCAAGCACUAACCUCCCUGACAUGGUGCCCUCCUCUCAGCCCUGGCCUGCACGCUCCUGCUGAGGUAACCUGUCCCCACUCCAUGUUAGAAAACCAUAAAACCCCCAAGAGACAUUUCUACCAAGUGAUCUAAAGACUGAGAUUCACCUUAUAAAAUUUAUAAAACUUAACAUGUAGAAGAGCCCAGUUUUAAUGCCUCCAACUUUUAUUUUCCAAAGAACAGUUAGUAGACUUGGCCCUGGGGGGACGAGAGCCCGGCUUUCAGACAAGGAGCCUCACCAGCAAUUCUGUACGUUUGAGGUGGCAGAGGUUUUCUGUGAACUUGUGGCUUGUGUCAUUUCUAAACACGGUAGUGUAAAUGGGAUUGUCUUUAUUUUGCAAAUGAGAAAAUGGAAGCGCCAGAGGGACAAAAGGACUCUCUCAAGGUGCCAUGGUGAGAAGGAGGCAGAAGGAGGACUUCACCUUUGUCUUGAUUUCACUGACUGCUGUUCAUCGUGCCACAGGUGUCUUCAAAAAGCAGUCGUUCUCCCACUGGAAUGUUUAUGUGAGAGGGAAAUGUGAUACUGUAAUAUAAUUUCAGUGGGGCUGGUCAUCCCUGCAAGGCUGAAAUGACCCUCUCUGUUUUAAUGUGAAAGGAAGCAUCAUCUUCUCUCCCAUUCCCACACAGGAUGUGUGCAGCAUCUUCGAGUCUCUGCCUCGUGAUUCUAGAUCUGUAGUAAGCUCUCCAUGGCAAGAAAGCCUUGCACUUCACUGAGGGAGUGGAUCUUCCAGUUACGUGUUUUUCUGAAGCAACUGGAAUUCUUUGCUUUUUGUAGCAAGACAGGCUUUUAAAAUUUUCUGGGAGAGAAGGAGGAUUGGCCAGAAAAGGCAUGAAGAGUGGGAGAAGCGUGCAUUGUGGACCUGUCUGAGUGUGGGAGUAUGUCCCGAUAAUCAAGAGACUGAGGAGUAGCAUCCUCUGUACCCCACAGUGUUCUAAAUGGAGGAAACUAACAAGGUAAUUGCAGGGGAAUAACACACUGUGAAUGUUAUGUGGGAUUUGAAAUUGUUAUCUCAAGAGUGAUCAGGUGGAGAGAGGAAGGGUGAACUCUUUCAGACUAGGUUUAGACUAGGUUUGUUUUCUGCAGUGUAUUUCCACUGUUAAAAGGGAUUUUGUUCCCUACUUUUUCUGCUGGUGGACAUUUCCCUUGGGGGAUCCUGGCCAAUGAAAGGUCACGCAGAGACCAGUCACUCUCAGGGAUGCCAGCAGAGCCAAUCAGACACAUGCCCUAGAUUUCCCCAGAGCAGACUGAGUGAACCAUAGGAGGGUCUGUCUGAUAUUUAUCUUGGCAGAAUUCUCAAAUGAGUUAGCAAAUAGUGGCUGGAGAUAAAGUGAGACUUUGAGCAACCUCUGGACUGACUCUGAUUACCCUCCACGCCCCACCUGGGCAAGGAGGAGAGACUAGAAAGCCAGCAGCAAAGAGUAAACUUUUCCAAGAAUCAGGAAGGAAGGAGUUCCUGACACCCUGAAGCAAAAACAACCUCAAAAUUCCCCUGAUGACAGAUCCAUGGGAGCUGGGGUCAAGGUAGCCUUGCACUUCACUGAGGGAGGUGUCAUCACCAAAUGUGCUGGACAUUGGCUACCCAUGGAAGACAGAUAAAAGAAAAUAGUGGAGAGCAUGCUUAUGACAUGGGGACAGGAAAGGGAAGGCCUUGAGUAAGACACAAAUCACAAAAGCAAAUAGAGAAAGAGUGAUGUCUACUUUCAAUGAAAUGUGAAACUUCUGAUUCAAAAUCAGAAACCUCUAGAAGCUGAGAUCAAAGGCAAGCAACGGAGUUGGAGAAGAUAUUUCUAACAUAUUUGUGUGUGUGCCUAUGUAUAUGUAAGUGUGUAAUGUGCAUACAUAUACACAUGAAUUCUGAUGGUUAUCUAGGCUCUAUGAAGAACUCCUAUCUAUUAAUAAGAAAAAAGACCAAGAUCAACAACCUCGUAGACAAAUGGUUGAAGAAGAUGACCAGCUAGUCCACAGAAAAUAAAAUGCAAAUGGAGUGGGAGGGCCCAGAAGAAAUCUUGCUUUAUCUAAAUUGUGUUGAUUAUGAGAGCAUAUGCUUAUAUUAAUUUUAUAAGUAAAAACAGAGAAAAAGUACCUGAAGAUUAAACCAAGCAAUGUGAUGUGUUAGUCACAUCACACACAGGAAGGGAGCUCUCAGCCUGUAAAAUAUGAGCCCAUUUGUGUGAAGCUGAGCAGAUGUGGAGAAGUCUUAGGACUCCAAGAGAGGAAGACCACAGGGCAUGGAGAGCCAAGGGACGGGGCAGAGAGGCUCUGGGAGGGCGCCCAGCCAUGUGGCUCAGUGCAGCUGGUGCAGAGCUCAGCUAUACCCUGGGGCUGGGCACUCAGCACAGUGUAGUCAGAUGAAGGCAGGAGAGUGGGGCAGGGAUUCUCCAUUUGAGUCAUGGUGACAAGCAGGGCCUCAGUCCCUGGGAAGGAUGGAAUCCAAAUUUAAUUCACUUCUGAACACUGUUCUAUAAUCUAUGCUUCAUUUAGAUACUAGUAAGCCUAAAAGAGCUGAAAAAUCAUUUUAUUUCCCCUUCCAACAUACAAUUUCUAAGACAUUUGAAUCAUUGAUGUUGAAGUUUCUUUGAGAAUGAGUUGAGUGUCCCAUUUUCAGCCUGAAAACAAAGCCUCAGCCACAAUCUUCAUCUCACCCCCUUUCUCUCUGUUUAUUUUCUUUACAAAAAAAUUCCCCCAUCUCUUUGUUCUUUAACAAAAUGUCGCGUGCAUCUUCUAAGUUCCAAGAACUGCACUGGCUUCCAGGAGACAGUGGCAACCCUGGCUCUGACCUCAUGGCAUGACCAAAGGGAAGGUCUCAGCCAGGGAUGUGAGGGACAUUGGAAAGAGGACACUGGUGAGCAACGGGGUCUUCCUUGGGUUGGGGAGGAGAGUUACUUCCCUAGUAGCCCACAGCUACUGGUAGGGGCCACCCUGGGCAGACAAAUGGUCUGAAUUUAUAUUGACAAAAAGCAAGUGCUGACGCCUUCCCAAUCACAGUUCCUUCAAAAACUUCAGGGUUUCUUGGGAAGGGAAGUGAACAUUAGUUGAGCCUCUGAGAUGUGCCAGGACUGUACUAGGAAGCUUCACAGAUGCUAGUAUUUAGAUUGGAUAUGCCUCCUGGAGUGCUGCGCUGUCUGUUAUGGGAAAUCAAAACAGCCAUUGCACUUCUGUAGUGUUCACAAGGAGCCUCACUUCUGGGCUUGGGCAGGCUGAGGAGUUCCAGGUUGGAGGAUCAGAUUUGGUGACUGCAUAGGAACUGUUGUCCUUUUUUCUCUUUUGAGAUAUGAAAUUUGCUCCAUAUCUCAGAAGAGUGUGUGCCUCCAUCCCACACUUGGAACACGUGCUAUUAUUCUUUAAAAAAAAUCUGUUGAACAUAUUAAAUGCUCUGCUUUCAUCACAGGUUAUAUUGUGCUGGGGCAGCAGGCUUAUGGUGCAAGAGCAGUGCACUGUGUGUCCGCUAGGGCCCCCCUGUCAUUUCAGUUGGUCUCCUUGACACGCCCCAGCUUGCUGCCCCCCAGGCUGUCUUGGAGAGACACAUUUGUGUUUUGUAAUACAGCAUGCCAUGCACUACUAUAUGGAGAUACUUUAUAAAGGAGUCCACAUGACACAAGGAAACCAGGAGAAAACAAUCCUAGAAAUCCCCAGAGCUUGGAAGCUGGGACAUGCAAGUGAGAUAUGGCGUGUGCUAUCAAGUGGCAAUCUCCUUCCAGCAGGAAAGCCACUGUUGUCAUUGCUUUAGGCAGGAGCUGGGAUUAAGCACAUCUACCACCCAGAAAAUAAUACAAAUAAGAACCACGGUCCAAAUCCAACACGAGUCUCACCCGUUCUCUAAAAUGUGGAAGCGUGUAGAUCUUAGCAUCUCUGUCCUUUCUCUGGCUUGGAGGAAGUUGGGCUCCUGGGUACUGUCUCAUCAAUCACGCCCAGUACCUGUGGACAGGUGCCUCCCCUGCUCUCUGGAUAAUUGGAUUUGGAUGGAUUGGGAACAGAAGGGAGCUUUGAUUGAUCCUCUUGUCUGUACUUGUGACCUUCAACUCCCUGUGGUGUAGGGUAUUGGUUUAGUCUCCCUGUCUUCUCCUGGUGUCCCUCCAGCUCAAAUCCUGCUCUUCCCCUACAUGCUUGAGUGGCCUGCUCACUUUGGGCUCUCUCUCCUUGACCCCUGGAACACCACCUCUUUGGUUCUUAAUAAUCCGGAAGCUUCUCACCUGGUGGUAGCUCUGAUAUUAUCCUCUUCGUUCACUGGAAGCUUCCAGAUCCUGCCCCCUCAAUCCAUUUUCUCCCCACAGGCCUUCCUCAGAAACACAACAACAUGUAUUGCUUAUAUCAUUGUGUACCAAAUGACUGGCAAAGAGGAUGAGUGAGUGAGGGCCAAGGGGGACGGAUCAGAGGAGAAACAUUCCAAGAGAGUGGGAACCCAGGGAAGGCUUCUCAGAGGAGCUGGGACACACUGGGGCCUGAAAGAAGUGGACAUUUAGAUGAGCAAAAAGACUGCAGGAGUGUCCAAUCUUUUGGUUUCACUGGGCCACAUUGGAAGAAGAGUUGUCUUGAGCCACAUGUAAAAUACAGUAACAAUAGCUGAUGCACAACAACAACAACAACAUCAGAAAAACGACUGAUAAUGCUUUAAGAAAGUUUACAAAUUUAUGUUGGGCCACAUUCAAAGCCAUCCUAGGCCACAUGCAGCCUGCGGGCUGUGGGUUGAACAGGCUUGAGCUAAGCAGGUGUGUUCUGAGCUGGAGAGAAGGCCAGUCCCAUGCUUUAUCGUUUGUGGUAUCACCAACCAAUGAUACUUUAAACGGUUGGUGGGUACAGGCCCUGGGCAGGGAGAUAGUAAGAAAAAGCUUACAAAAGAAAAGGAGGAGGAGGGGAGUUGCAGGUCAUAGAGGGCCUUGAAAGUGAGACUGAAGGUUUGGGCCCUCCCCCAUGGGCACGCCACUGAGCAGGGACCCUGUCACUGUUAGUUCUGUCUUCCAUCUUUGGAAAUAAUGACAUAGUCAACUACUCCUCUACAAAAAGAGUCACACACACACACACACACACACACACACACACACACACGUGGAAGCUUCCAGAUCCUGCCCCCAACCCAUUCUCUCCCCACAGGGCUUCCUCAGAAACACAACAAACGUAUACUGCUUACACCAUUGUGUGCCAAAUGACUGGCCCAGAGGAUGAGUGAGUGAGGGCCAACCUAGGCUAGGGGACGGGUCAGAGAAGAAAAUUCAAAGAGUGGGAACUCAAGGAAGGUUUAUUGCUUAAAGAAGGGUGAUACGUACUUCCUGGUCAGGAUCACCCUCUGGCUUUUCUAUUGAAGUUUAGUUUCUCAAGCUCACCAACAUCCAUUUGGGGCAUCUUCUCUUGGCAUCCACCCUAGUUCCAUUACAGCCAAAGCUGGAGGUGUUGGGGAAUGUCACAUGCUUCAGGGGUGUCUGUGUAGUUUGCUUUUUACCCAGCUGAACUCACAGCUUUAAUGUGUGAAGGCGAUCUUCCAGUUCAAGAGGACAGAGUUGGUGCCCCUGUCUGUACCAACCUAAGAGAGCUUUCUGUUUCCUGCUUCCUGCUCUGUGGACUCCCCAUAUGCCCCUGUAGUAUUUGCCUAAUACUUUGGAACCAACAAUAAUAACGUAUGAAAUCUUUAUUUCAAACACAGUUUGAAUUUCAUCCAUCUUCAUCUUACCCAAAGGGAUAGAUUCUAUAGUCCUCAAUCUGGAUGGUCAGAGCUGAGAAAUCCCCUUACCUCCAAACACGGGCACUUUUAUUUUGUAACCACUGUCUGUCUGGUUUUCUGUUUUGAAGUCUCCCUGGGUGAUGGUGCCGCCAGAUAAAAGUUGUAAUGAGAGAAGGAGGGUGGGAGGGAAGGUCCGGUGACAAGGCAAGGCGGAAGGUAAUGGAGACCUUCUCCAAUCAGAAGUCUAGAAGGCAGGGCACGCAGUAGGUCUGCAGAAUGAGUCAGAACCCGCCUAUGAAUGCUGUCUAUUCAUGGCUCCAGGCUUUUGUUAAAGUCUGGGCCUACAUUUUAAAGAGGGAGUGGGGGAACUGGCCAGACUGGUCUGACAACUAAGGAGUGGUGAACUCUUCCCUGAGGCUAGUGCUCAGGUGGAUGAAGUCAUCAAUAUUUUCUGGGCAGUCCUAAUCUGUGAUUAACUUUUUUCUCUGCUGUGAAAUAACAGCCUUCUUUUCAGCCUGCUAACAAUAAGAAAACCUGGCUGCCUGUCUGGGGGAUAUUUUAUGCCAGGCUUCAGUAGAGGCAUAUUUGAGAAGCCAUUUGGGACUCCUGUCCCUGGGGAAAGCCCAGCAGAGUAUAGGGAGGGGUCUGAGUGGUGGCGGAGUCCUCCCAGCCCUGGUCCUGGUGGUUCCGGUAUACUUUGAUGUCCUGACUUCAAACUCAGCUUACUCAAAGCAAAUGUCCGUUUUCGUUCUUACUCCCUUCUUGUUUAAGGCCUCACCACUGACCAGGAAGACUUGAUAGAACCAUCUAGUAACUCUUUCAAAAAAAAUUGGUUAUUUUUUUAUUGUACUUUAGGUUCUGGGGUACAUGUGUAGAUCAUGCAGGAUUGUUGCAUAGGUACAUACAUGGCAAUGUGAUUUGCUGCCUGCAUUCCCCCCGUCACCUAUAUCUGGCAUUUCUCCAUGGGUUAUCCCUCCCUGACCUCCCCACCCGCCACUGUCCCUCCCCUAGCCCCCCACCAACAGACCCCAGUAUGUGAUCCUCCCCUCCCUGUGUCUGUGUAUUUUCAUUGUUCAACACCCACCUAUGAGUGAGAACAUGCAGUGUUUGAUUUUCUGUUUUUGUGUCAGUUUGCUGAGAAUGAUGGUUUCCAGAUUUAUCUAUGUCCCUACAAAGGACAUGAACUCAUCAUUUUUUAUGGCUGCAUAGUAUUCCAUGGUGUAUAUGUGCCACAUUUUCUUUGUUCAUUCUAUAAUUGGUGGACAUUUGGGUUGUUUCCAGGUCUUUGUAUUGUAAACAAUACCACAAUGAACAUACUUGUGCAUGUGUCUUUACAAUAGAAUGAUUUAUAGUCCUUUGGGUAUAUACCCAGUAAUGGCAUUGCUGGGUCAAGUGGAUCUCAAGUUCUAGGUCCUUGAGGAAUCGCCACACUAUCUUCCACAACGGUUGAACUAACUUACACUCCCACUAACAGUGUAGAAGUGUUUCUAUUUUUCCACAUCCUCUCCAGCAUCUGUUGUCACCAGCUUUUUUAAUGAUCACCAUUCUAAUUGGCAUGAAAUGGUAUCUCAGUGUAAUUUUGAUUUGCAUCUCUAAUGACCGGUGAUGAUGAGAAUUUUUUGAUGUUUGUUGGCCUCGUAAAUGUCUUCCUUUGAAAAGUGUCUGUUCAUAUCCUUCAUCCACUUUUGAAUGGGUUUGUUUGUUUUUUUUUUCUUGUAAAUCUGCUUUAGUUCUUUGUAGAUUCUGGAUAUUAGCCCUUUGUCUGAUGGGUAGAUUGCAAAAAAUUUUUUCCCAUUCUGUUGGUUGCUGGUUUACUCUAAAUGAUUGUUUCUUGUGCUGUGCAAAAACUCUGAAGUUUAAUUAAAUCUUAUGUGUCUAUUUUGUGUUUUGUUGCCAUUGGUUUGGUAUUUAGUCAUGAAAUCCUUGCCUAUGCCUAUGUCCUGAAUGGUUUUGCCUAGGUUUUCUUCUAAGGUUUUUAUGGUGUUAGGUCUUAUGUUUAAAUCUUUAAUCCAUUUGGAGUUAAUUUUGGUGUAAUAAGGUGUAAGAAAGGGGUCCAGUUUCUGUACAUGGCUAGCCAGUUUUCCUAACACCAUUUAUUGAACAGGAUUUCCUUUCCCCAUUGCCUGUUUUUGUCAGGUUUGUCAAAGAUCAGAUGAUUGUAGAUGUGUGGUGUUGCUUCUGAGGCCUCUGUUUUGUUUGAUUGGUCUGUAUCUCUGUUUUGGUACCAGUACCAUGCUGUUUUGAUUACUACUGCCUUGUAGUAUAGUUUGAAGUCAGGUAGCAUGAUGCCUCCAGGUUUGUUCUUUUUGCUUAGGAUUGUUUUGGCUAUGUGGGCUCUCUUUUUGUUCCAUAUGAAGUUUAAGGUGGUUUUUUCCAGUUACAUGGAGAAGGUCAUUGGUAGCUUGAUGGGGAUAGCAUUGAAUCUAUAAAUUACUUUGAGCAGUAUGGCUAUUUUCAUGAUAUUGAUUCUUCCUAACCAUGAGCAUGGAAUGUUUUUCCAUCUGUUUGUGUCCUCUCUUAUUUCCUUGAGCAGUGGUUUGUAGUUCUCCUUGAAGAGGUCCUUUACAUCCUUUGCUAGUUGUAAUCCUAAAUAUUUUAUUCUCUUUGUAGCAGUUGUGAAUGGGACCUCAUGAUUUUGCUCUCUUUAAGUCUGUUGUUGGUGUAUAGGAAUGCUUGUGAUUUCUGCACAUUGAUUUUGUAUCCUGAGACUGUUGAAGUUGCUUAUCAUCUUAAGGAGAUUUUGAGCUGAGAUUAUGGGGUCUUCUAAAUAUGCAAUCGUGUCGUCUGCAAAUAGAGACAAUUUGACUUCCUCUUUUCCUGAUUAAAUACCGUUUAUGUUUUUUUUUCCUUGCCUGAUUGCUCUGGCUAGAACUUCCAUUAGGAGUGGUGAGAGAGGGCAUCCUUGCCUAGUGCUAGACUUCAAAGAAAAUGCUUCCAGUUUUUGUCUAUUUAGUAUGAAAUUAGCUGUGGGUUUGUUAUAAAUAGGUUUUAUUAUUUUGAGAUAUGUUCCAUCGAUACCUAGUUUAUUAAGGAUUUUUAGCAUAAAGGGCUGUUAAAUUUUGUCAAAGGCCUUCUCUGCAUCUAUUGAGAUAAUCAUGUUUUUGUUUUUGUGGUUUGGUUUAUAUGAUGGAUUAGAUUUAUAGAUUUGUGUAUGUUGAACCAGCCUUGAAUCCCCAGGAUAAAGCCUACUUGAUCAUGAUGGAUAAGUGUUUUGAUGUGCUGUUGCAAUCAGUUUGCCGAUUUUAUUGAAGAUCUUUGCAUCUAUGUUCAUCAUGGAUAUUGGCCUGACGUUUUCUUUUUUUUUUUUUUUUUUUUUUUUUGCUGAGUCUCUGCCAAGUUUUGGUAUCAGAAUGAUGUUUGGUCUCAUAAAAUGAUUUUGGAAGGAUUCCCUCUUUUUGUGUUGUUUGGAAUAGUUUCAGAAGGAAUAGUACGAGCUCCUCUUUGUAUGUCUGGUAGAAUUCAGCUGUGAACCCAUCUGGACCUGGACUUUUUUUGGUUGGUAGGCUAUUAAUUGCUGCCUCAACUUCAGCCCUUGUUAUUGGCCAUUCAGGGUUUCAACUUCUUCCUGGUUUAGGCUUGGGAGGGUGCAAGUGUGCAGGAAGUUUUAUCCAUUUCUUCCAGGUUUACUGGUUUAGUUGCAUAGAGUUGUUUGUAGUAAUCUCUGAUGGUAGUUUGUAUUUCUGUAGAAUUGGUGUUGAUAUCCCCUUGAUCAUUUUUUAUUGCAUCUAUUUGAUUCUUCUGUCUUUUCUUUUUCAUUAAUCUGGCUAGCAGUCUAUUUUGUUGAUCUUUUCAAAAAACCAGCUCCUGGAUUUAUUGAUUUUUUGAAGGGUUUUUUGUGUCUCUAUCUCCUUCAGUUCUGCUCUGAUCUUAUUUAUUUCUUGUCUUCUGCUAGCUUUUGAUUUUUUUUUUUUUUUGAUCUUGCUCCUCUAGCUCUUUCAAUUCUGAUGAUAGGUUGUCAAUUUUAGAUCUUUCCUCACUUCUCAUGUGGACAUUGUUACUAUAAAUUUCCCUCUAGACACUGCUUUAAAUGUGUUCCAGAGAUUCUGAUAAGUUGCAUCUUCCUUCUUGUUAGUUUCAAAGAACAUCUUUAUUUCUGCUUUCAUUUCAUUGUUUGUUUAGUAAACAUUCAGAAACCAGUCAAUCAGUUUCUGUGAAGUUGUGUGGUUCUGAGUUAGUUUCUUAAUCCUGGGCUCUAAUUUAAUUGCACUGUGGUCUGAGAGACUGUUUGUUAUGAUUUCUGUUCUUUUGCAUUUGCUGAGGAGUGAUUUACUUCCAAUUAUGUGGUCAUUUUUAGAGUAGGUGUGAUGUGGUGAUGAGAAGAAUGUAUAUUUUGGAUUUGGGGUGGAGAGUUCUGUAAAUGUCUAUCAGGUUUGUUUGUUCCAGAUCUGAGUUCAAGUCCUGGAUAUCCUUGUUAAUUUUCUGUCUGGUUGAUCUGUCUAAUAUUGACAGUGGAGUGUUAAAGUCUCCUACUAUUAUUGUGUGGCAGUCUAAAUCUCUUUGCAGGUCAUUAAGAACUUGCUUUAUGUAUCUGUGUGCUCCUGUAUUGGGUGCAUAUAUAUUAAGGAUUCUUAGCUCUUCUUGUUGGAUUGAUCCUCGUACUCUUAUGUAAUGCCCUUCUUUGUCUCUUUUGAUCUUUGUUGGUUUAAAGUCCAUUUUAUCAGAGACUAGGAUUGCAACUCCUGCUUUUCUUUGCUCUCCAUUUGCUUGGUAAAUCUUCCUCCAUCCCUUUAUUUUGAGCCUAUGUGUGUCCUUGCAUGUGAGAUGGGUUUCCUAAAUACAGCACACCAAUGGGUCUUGACUUUCUAUCCAAUUUGCCAGUCUGGGUCUUCUGAUUGGUGCAUUUAGCCCAUUUAUAUUUAAGGUUAAUAUUGUUAUGUGUGAAUUUGAUCCUGCCAUUUUGAUGCUAGGUGGUUGUUCUGCCCAUUAGUUAAUGCAGUUUCUUCAUUGUGUCAAUGGGUCUUUACUAUUUGGUACAUUUUUGGAGUGGCUCGUACUCGUUCUUCCUUUCCACGUUUAGUGCUUCUUUCAGGAGCUCUUAUAAGGCAGCACUGGUGGUAACGAAAUCUCUCAGCAAUUGCUUGUCCUUAAAGGAUUUUAUUUCUCCUUUGCUUAUGAAACUUAGUUUGUCUGGAUAUGAAAUUCUAGGUUGAAAAUUUGUUUCUUUAAAGAUGUUGAAUGUUGGCCCCCACUUUCAUCUGGCUUGUAGGUUUCUGCUGAGAGAUCCACUGUGAGUCUAAUGAGCUUCCCUUUGUGGGUAAUCUGACCUUCCUCUCUGGCUGCCCUUAGCAUUUUUUUCUUCAUUUCAACCCUGGUGAAUCUGAUGAUUAUGUGCCCUGGGGUUGCUCUUCUUGAGGAAUAUCUUUGUGGUGUUUUCCGAAUUUCCUGAAUUUGAAUGUUGACCCUUCUUGCUAGGUUGGGGAAGUUCUCUGGAUAAUACCCUGGAGAGUGUUUUCCAGCUUGGAUUUAUUCUCUCCAUCACUUUCAGGUACACCUAAGAAACAUAGAUUAGGGCUUUUCACAUAAUCCCAUAUUUCUUGGAGACUUUGUUCAUUUCUUUUCACUCUUUUUUCUCUUAUCUUACCUUUUUGUUUUAUUUCAUUGAGUUGAUCUUUAAUCUCUGAUAUCCUUUCUUCUGCUUGGUCAAUUCAGCUAUUGAAAUUUGUAUAUACCUCGUGAGGUUCUUGUGCUGUGUUUUUCAGCUCCAUCAAGUCGUUUAUAUUCUUUUCUAAGCUAUUUAUUCUCAUUAGCAUUUUGCCUAACCUUUUUUCAAGGUUCUUAGUUUCUUUGCAUUGGGUUAGAACAUGUUCUUUUAGCUCAGAGAAGUUUGUUAUUACCCAUCUUCUGAAGGCUUUUUCUAUCAAUUCAUCAGACUCAUUCUCCAUCCAGCUUUGUUCCCUUGCUGGUGAGGAGUUGUGAUCCCUUGGAGGAGGAGAGGAGUUCUGGUUUUGGUGUUUUCAUCUUUUUGCACUGGUUUCUUCCCAUCUUCAUGGAUUUAUCUACAUGUGGUCUUUGUAAUUGGUAACUUUCAGAUGGGGUCUCUGAGUAGACGUCCUUUUUGUUGAUGUUGAAGCUAUUUCUUUCUGUUUUUUAGUUUUUCUUCCAACAGUCAGGUGCCUCUGCUGCAGGACUGCCGGAGGUUUACGCCAGACCCUGCUUGCCUGGGGAUCACCCCCAUGGGCUGCAGAACAGUAAGGGUUCCUGCCAGUUUCUUCUUCUGUUUUCUUCAUCCCAGAAGGGUACCUGUCAGAUGUCAGCCUGAGCUCUCCUUUAUGAGGUGUCUCUUUGGAUAUACAGGGGUUAGGGAGCUGCUUGAGGAGACAGUCUGUCUGUUAUAGGAGCUCAAGUGCU